rnacentral:hammerhead_ribozyme from 1 species
AUGCGGCUGAUGAGUCCCAAAUAGGACGAAACGCGCAUCCUGGAU